AGGGAGUGGGUUGGUUCCUGUAGGAGGUAGAUCCUGGUUUAUCUUGAACUCCUUUGGUUUGGAGAAAUGAAACUCAUCCUUGAAGGAGAGGGUCUGAACGCCUGCUGCUGUGGGGAAUAUUAUUUGAUGCAGUGGCUGGUGGGUUGGCUUGGGGGCUUAUCGGCGGUGCCUCGACUGCAGAGAGUCGAUGAAGAGGCGGUGGUGGAUCAAGGUGGGACCAGUAAUGUCGUCAAUAUUCAUUAUGAGAAAGAAGAGCUGGAAGGGCACAGAACUCUGUACGUUGGGGUACGGAUGCCUUUGAUGAGACAAAGCCACAGACAUCACAGGAAUCAUGGCCAAAAACAUAGGAAACGAGACCGGGCGAAGGGAGCCAUUCAAGAAGAGCAGGAAUCUCAUGACACCCCGUCUCAGCGAGUUCAGUUUAUCCUUGGUAUGGAGGAGGAUGAGGAGCAUGUUCCCCAUGAUUUGUUCACAGAGCUGGAUGAAAUCUGUGUGAAAGAAGGGGAAGAUGCAGAAUGGAAGGAAACGGCCAGGUGGCUGAAGUUCGAAGAGGAUGUGGAGGAUGGAGGAGAACGCUGGAGCAAACCCUAUGUCGCGACGCUUUCAUUACACAGUCUCUUUGAGCUGAGGAGUUGCAUCAUGAAUGGGACUGUCCUUCUGGAUAUGUGCGCCAACAGCAUCGAGGAAAUUGCAGAUAUAAUCCUGGAUCAGCAAGAACCAAGGAGUGAGUUUGAUGAAAGCAUGAGAGAGAGACUCCGGGAUGCCCUCUUAAAAAAGCAUCAUCACCAGAAUGAGAAGAAGAGGAACAACCUCCUUCCGAUUGUCCGCUCUUUCACUGACGUCAGCAAGAAGCAGUCGGAUCCACACUUAUUGGACAAAACGGCAAUGCACACGCUGUCUCCUCAACCUGGCACUACCAAUCUAGAAGUUAAAAACGGAGUGACCCAGGACACUAGUCCUAUGGAUUUAAGCAAGGCGGAGCUUCAUUUCAUGAAGAAAAUUCCUACUGGAGCAGAAGCUUCCAACGUUCUAGUGGGAGAGUUGGAUUUCCUCCUUCGUCCCCUGGUGGUGUUCGUGCGUCUGACGCCAGCUGUCCUUCUCUCAGGCAUGACAGAAGUCCCGAUCCCAACAAGGUUCUUAUUUUUCUUGUUGGGACCAGAAGGGAAAGCACAUCAGUACCAUGAGAUUGGCAGGUCAAUGGCUACUCUCAUGACAGAUGAGAUUUUCCAUGACGUUGCUUAUAAAGCCAAAGACCGUGCUGACCUUGUAGCUGGUAUUGAUGAAUUCCUGGAUCAGGUGACGGUAUUGCCUCCUGGAGAAUGGGAUCCAUCGAUUAGAAUUGAACCACCGAAAAAUUUACCUUCCCAGGACAAGAGGAAGAUGCCAGGUGUCCCUAAUGGCACUGCUUGCCAUACUGAGCCAGAACAGCACAGUGGACCCGAACUUGAACGAACAGGAAGGCUCUUUGGUGGUUUGAUCAUGGAUGUGAAACGAAAAGCUCCUUGGUUCUGGAGUGACUUCAGGGAUGCUCUGAGCUUGCAGUGCUUGGCGUCUUUCCUCUUCCUAUAUUGUGCCUGCAUGUCCCCCGUGAUUACCUUUGGGGGGCUGCUUGGAGAAGCGACCGACGGACAAAUAAGUGCAAUAGAAUCCUUAUUUGGCGCCUCGAUGACUGGAGUUGUGUACUCUCUGUUCGCUGGACAGCCCCUCACUAUCUUAGGAAGUACCGGACCGGUGUUGGUGUUUGAAAAGAUUUUGUUCAAGUUCUGCAAAGACUACGCACUCUCCUACCUUUCCCUGAGAACGAGUAUUGGAUUGUGGACUGCUUUCCUGUGCAUCGUCCUUGUGGCAACAGACUCCAGCUCCCUAGUACGCUACAUCACUCGCUUUACUGAAGAAGCGUUUGCUUCUCUGAUCUGUAUCAUUUUCAUCUACGAAGCUCUAGAGAAACUGAUUAAGCUAGGGGCAACCUACCCCGUCCACAUGCACAGCCAGCUCGACCACCUUACCUUCUACUACUGUAAAUGUGCUGCUCCUGACAAUCCCAGCAAUCAAACCCUACAGUUCUGGAGCGACAGGAAGAUUGUCCCUUCUGCGAUUGAGUGGGCAAACCUCACUGUCAGUGAAUGUCGGAAAAUGCGUGGUGAAUUUACUGGACCUGCCUGUGGGCACCAUGGCCCCUACACACCAGAUGUCCUCUUCUGGUCUUGCAUUCUCUUCUUCACCACCUUCAUCAUGUCUGGCGCACUGAAGAUGUUUAAAACCAGCCACUAUUUCCCAACAAGAGUACGAGCCAUGAUAAGUGACUUUGCUGUUUUCUUAACUAUCGUCACUAUGGUGACUUUUGAUUUGUUAAUUGGAAUCCCAUCACCAAAGCUACAAGUUCCCAGUGUCUUCAAGCCAACAAGAGAUGACCGUGGGUGGAUUAUUAGCCCGAUAGGACCCAAUCCCUGGUGGACGGUGUUAGCAGCUCUCAUCCCAGCUCUUCUCUGCACCAUCUUGAUAUUCAUGGACCAGCAAAUCACUGCUGUUAUCAUAAACAGAAAGGAGCAUAAACUCAAGAAAGGAUGUGGCUACCACUUGGACCUUCUGAUGGUAGCAAUAAUGCUUGGUGUGUGCUCCGUUAUGGGGCUGCCCUGGUUUGUUGCUGCAACUGUUCUAUCCAUCACCCAUGUGAACAGCCUUAAACUAGAGUCUGGCUGCUCAGCUCCGGGAGAACAACCGAAAUUUCUCGGGAUACGAGAGCAAAGAGUCACUGGCCUCAUGAUCUUUGUGCUUAUGGGCUGUUCCGUCUUCAUGACUGCUGUGUUAAAGUUUAUCCCGAUGCCUGUGCUUUAUGGUGUGUUUCUUUACAUGGGCGUUUCUUCACUCGGAGGGAUUCAGUUCUUUGAUCGCCUGAAGCUGUUUGGAAUGCCCGCAAAACACCAGCCCGACUUUAUCUACUUACGGCACGUCCCCUUGCGAAAAGUACAUCUCUUCACCGUGAUCCAGCUGACGUGCCUCGUUUUACUCUGGGCCAUCAAAGCUUCUCCUGCUGCCAUCGUCUUUCCCAUGAUGGUCUUGGCUCUGGUCUUUGUCCGGCAAGUCAUGGAUUUCUGUUUCUCGAAGCGGGAGCUCAGCUGGCUCGAUGACCUCAUGCCAGAAAGCAAGAAGAAAAAACUGGAUGAUGCCAAAAAUAAAGCCAAGGAAGAAGAGGAGUCUCAGAAAAUGAUGGAAGCUGCUGAAGCAAAUGUAAUGCAGUUAUCAUUGGGGAAAACGAAAUAUAUGACUGUUCCAGGACGAAAUAACAAUACCAGGCAGAAUCAAGUGGCUGACAUGUCCUGAAAUGAAAGUGACGUGAGGUUUCUCACCCCUUCCUCAUGGGAAAACCCAUUGAAGCCAAGACCUGGUGGUGGAUGUGAAAACUAAGGGACGAUCCUGCAGAGAUAAACAUCUCAGAUGAAAUGCCUAAGACAACUGUAUGGAAAGCUCUCAGCAUGAACACAGAAAAUGUCUAAAUCCAAGCAGAAGAGUUUUCCCAUUUAGGGACCUUGACUUUGUCGGCGGGGGAGGAGAUCGUGAAGAUGACUCAGGGAUGAGCCAAGAUGUACAGACACGGGGAGAAAAUACUCUUAAAAAAACGGAGAAAGGGGGGAAAAAAACCCACCACUCUCCUCUGGUACUUUUUUCAUUCAAGUAACUGGAUUCCCAUUAAAGCCAUUCAGACAUUUUCAAUGAUCUUUGGUGUGCUUCGGUGGGCGUUUAUUCUCUUCAGACCAGCAAGCUGAGGUGGCCAUGGCAAUCGAUGACAGUUCAGUGUUAUUAAGCCUCUCUCUGUGCGUGCGUUCUGUUCUCUUUGUGGUAGAGAGAUUGCUACCGCACAGCCAUUGAGCGGUAUAGAUUUUCCAUCUGAUUUUCUUUUAAAAAUAUAAACUCUGAAUGUACAAAAUCCAUUUUUUCUGGUCUUUUUGGGCCACCCUCCAUUUACCGGUCUUCCCUUACUGGCUAUUGGGCCGGUUGGGUUCUUGGUUAAGUUUCUGCAGUGAUUUCUCUUCUCGUGUAUUUUAAUAGUUGUCACAGGUCCAUCUAGCGACAGACCCCGGGGGGCCAGUGUAAUGGGAAUAUCUUCAGCAGAUCUGGACCAAAGCUGCAAACUGGUUUUUCAGUGCACGCUCAUUUGAGUUUUUGCAAUUUUGCACACAUUCUGGCAACUAAGGCCUGGGUUCAGCAAAGCCUGCCGGCCGCGCUCGACGGUGCGAUGCCUAAUUUAGGGUGGAUGAUUGGCAGGAUUGAGGCUUCUAAGUGCCUAAAUCCCUUUUGGCAUUGAUACUUAAGCUCCUAAAUCAGUUAGAUGUUGCAACGCUGCGCAUGGCGACGCCUCUAAGUACCUUUAAAAAUCUGGGCCUUAAGGACAUUCUUAAGUCCCGUCGAAGUUCAUGGAACUUGCUUAAAAUGAAAAGCUCUCCUGAUUAUGUAAAUGAAUCCUGUGUGUUACGGUAGCCCCUAGUGGCGCUGACUAAGAUCAGGGCUCCAUUGUGCUGAAAGGGAAUCCCUGCCCCAAAGAGCUUGCAGUCUGUCUAGACAGGAGGGUCAUGCGGGCAUUGUUGCUUCUGUCGGCCGAGCUCCGUGCACACACCGGGGCUCCUUGCAUCCCUGCAUUCCUCCCCCACAAGCUCCCUGAGUACCCCCUCCCAACCCUCUCUGUUUUAGGGAGUCCCUGCAACCCCCACCUCCCUCAUGCUAGGAGUUUUGUGUACCCCCAUGCCCCCUUCCCCCCACAGACCAGGGUCCUCCAUUAAACCCCCUAUGCCAGGGGCUUUGUGUACUUCCUCUCCCCCGCCCCUCACACCAGGGUCCCCCAUUCAACCCCCAUGCCUGGGGCUCUGUGUACCCCCAUUUCCUGCUCUCCCCCAUGCCUGGGGUUCUGUGUACCGCCCUUCUGCCCUCCCUCCCAUGCCAGGGUCCCCCAUUAUUCCUGCUCCAUGCCAGGGGCUUUGGGUGUCUCCUUUUUUCUCCCCCCUCCAAAGUACCUUUCUUUCCCCCCAGAUUGGAAGGGAUGGACGGACAGCUGGGGUCCUCUCACUUUCUCUCUCCCUCCCCCUGCCCCUCAAGGAGGGAGAAAGGAAUGAAGCUGCCUUUACUCUCCCCUCUUUUUGACUCCCCCUGCUGGCUGAGCAUCUGCCCCCCGGCUGUUACACAUCUCUCUGCAAGGAGAGCAAACAGCAGCGGAAAUGGGUUUUCCAGUUUUCACCAAACUCAAUAGGGUUCUGCCCGUUGAUGCCUAGCAUGCUCCCUGAACUUUCAGAAUUGAUCGGCCGUGGCAUUCAAAAGUUAUUGCAUUACUCAGCCAGGAAUAAAACCCAGGUGCCCUACGGCCCAGUCCUGUGUUCUGUCCAUCAGGCAAUGCUUCUUUCUUGCUUGUUCGCCUGCUUAGAGUUAAGCAUGUGCCUGAGUGCUUUGCUGAAUCCGGGCCUGUGUUAACUCACGCUGUGCAUGGGAACAGGGAACAUUGCAGACGAUUCAUAAUGGUGAGUAUUCAUGCCAUAAGCCUGCUUCGAAGAAUCACCCUCGUCCCGUGAUGGGCCAGAAACAUUGGUUCUGACCUUGGAGGCCAAUCCAAAAAGCUUGAAAGCUGCAAUGAUGCGCCCCUGUGUGAGCGUCAGCCCAAGAUUUAUUCACACCAGCUCUUCAGCGAAUAGGUUCUAACCCUGCACGAUUUGGAGAAAACUGCAGUCUCGUGGUGCUCACUUCUUGGGCGGAAAGAGGCAAUGCUAAUUAAUACGUCAUCUGAAAACAAGAGCUGUCAGAUGACUGUCACAUUGUCUAGCUGUAUCAUAGUCUGGGGACUUUCUUUUUGUUAUACCGCUUGGCAGCGUAUCACAAUCAGAUCAGCUAUCAAAUCCCUUUUUGAAAUCAGGGUUCGUCUGAAGGCUGCGUUCAGCAAAGCACUUAAGCACGUAACUUUAAAUACAUCUAGUUCUGGGCAUAAGGGAAUCAUACAGGUGGAAGGGAUCUCGAGGGGCCAUCUAGUCCUUCAUCCCAGUCUGGGGCAGAACUCUCCCUCCCGUUCCCCUGGAGCAGAGGGAUUCUACAAGCCACAGAUUCAGCUGGGGAGGAUUCCACCGGUAGCACCAUAAGGCUGUCCUCUGAUGAACCCUCUGUACAUCUCUGCGGUAGAGGGCAUGCCAGAGCUGGGAAGGUUGCGUCAAAGGGCGCAGCGAUCCCAGGCAGUGCUGUGGCCCACAGCUCAGCCCUGGGAGGCUGCCGUAACUUUGACAGGCCCCCAGGGGUUUCUAAAUUACAGCAGGGGCCACUGCAGUCCCUGGUGCAGGCCAGGAUCAGAAAGGCGCAAAGGUAACAUAGCCCCACCCUCCUCUGUGCGGUGCCUCUUAGAGGCACAACCCAGAAUCUCACCUGUUGACUCUCAUGGGCCUACUCAGAUGCUUAUAAUUCAAUCAGGUGCUUAAAUACCUUGCUGAAUCAGGGCUUCAUUCUGCCCUUCUUACUCAGCCAAAACUCAGUUCCCAUCGAAUUCAAGAAGAGAGUCCCCAAAGGUUUGAUUUUUCAAGAUCAGGGCCUAUGUUUUUAAAAAGCACAUGGAUUUCUUAUUGGUGGAAUCUUUUAUGCUUAUUGCAAGCAAAUGUGACUAGUCUACGAUCCAGAGCUUUCCCAGUUUACUGACCGUCCUGCAGCGUGGAUAGAUGUUAUGGUAGCACUUACUCACCCGAACAGGACUUGAUUGUUUACUGUAAAUACUUUCGCCUGCAGUGAAACUCACUCCAAACAUAUGUCUCCUUUCUUUUAAAAUGCUUUCAUUUAUUCCGUCCAGAAUGGUUGACCUGACUGAUUAUGAUCAUCCAGAGGGCUGAAUGUGGCGCCCCGAAUUAUAAAAUGAAUGUACUUUGAUUUAUUUGCUUUGUAAAUUGCUUUUUCAGCAUCCAUGAUGUCAGUGUACAUCGCUCAUUCUCUUAAAGGAAUAGUCUCAGUGGAAAUUUCUUCUUUUAAUACAGUUGCCCGAUUUACUGUAGUAUUACGCGCCUGUGGAAAGCGUUACACAGGGGCCGAGCCUCAUUCCAGCCUCGCUGGUGUAAAUUGGGCAUAACUCCAUCAUUAUGCUGGCAUCUGAAUGGUGGAAGUGAGAUCAGAAUCAGGCCUUCUAAAUUUAGCAUAAGAAUGGGGUGAUAUGGGGGGAAAGAUUGAAUUAUUUUUGCUACCCCAAAAGAUUUGGUUGAAGAGGAACCCGUUGGGUAGUAUUUUUGGGCAGUGCUUUAUAUUGUUUUCUUGUAUCACAGUAGAGCUUUGUUAUAACCCCUUGAUCUCCACACCCAUCCUUGUGAGAUGGAAACUUUAGAACAGUCUUUUACCCGCCUAUGGUUUUUAUAUAUCAGACUGUCCAUCACUUGUAGCGCGAAAGCUUUGGAAAGGAUUUUUUUCUGUGGCUCCUGUUUCUGUGAAAAGUGAUUUUCUCCAAGGCUUGCAGGAUCAAUUCAGAGCAGCCCAAUGGCCUACAAAUAGACUAAUUUGAAAAAAAGUUCCUAGCUUGCAGCCAGUAAGUUUGGUGGGUGAGGGGGGAUCAUGAAAGUACAAACAGAUCUUGAGAAAAGAUGGUGAGGGAACCCAGAAGCCUUCUGCAGCUGGUCGACGGGACACCUGCCGGAGCGGGAAGGAAAGGAAGUUCCAUCGCAGGAGUGAUGAAAGUGCCCUGGGGUGGGAAAACUGACUUAGAAUGCCGUUUACUCGUCCCUGUUCCCUCACACACACUACCUGUAGCAAUUACAGCUAUGAACCUGCCGUGGUUCUUAUGCAAAAUCCGUGCUGGCCAGGAUCUAAAAGAGUUGGCCUGUUGGUUGCAGCUUUGGUUUCCCCUGCUGAAGCAGGGUCCUUACAGGGUACACAUUGGGAAUGUGGCUGCAUUACACCCUUCGCAACUCCUGCCUUUGCUUCUGCGGCCAGUAAGAUGUUGGCCACACAUUUACCGGCUGCCUCCAUUGGCAAGGGCUGCCUGGUUCCCUCGGGCACUUGCAUAAUGCCCUCCUUCAGCUAUUGAAUGGUAAAGAUGCUAAUAGGCUUGACUUAGUCAUCAGGCAACCGCAAUCUAUAGGGUGCUGCAGUAAGGACUAGGGUCUGAGAGAUCUAAGGCCCCUUGUCAAAAGCUGGGAAUCUCCCUCAGCCCAGAAUUCAUAGAUUGAUAGAUCAGAAGGGUCCAUUUUGAUUCUCAGUCUGAUGCAGGGGUGGGGUGGGGUUCCUGAUCGAGUCAUCCACCAAGGGCCCACUGAAGCAUAGAGAAAUUCCAGUCCUCUUCUCUGCUAAUGACCAUUAGUGGGGAGGGACCUUCAGGUCAACUGCCCUGGGAGCUGAAAAUGUGUCAGCUCAAGGAAGGAAAAGGCCAGGCCUCUGGUUCUAGCUCUGCUUUCCCUUCCCUGAUAACAGGCCGCUUGGGUUUUAUUCUCACUCCUGCCUGGCUGCGUCUGCACAGAACUCGUGGUGGUGUGGAUCCAUUAAUGUAACGUGCUAUUUUAUCCUGGACGUCUGUGCCAGUGUAACCCAUACUUAUGCAGCGAUGUAUCCAUCUGUGUCUGUCUGUGUCCCUCAAGUGGUUAGACGUUCGUGAGUCAGCUACAACCUUUGGGCUGAGGACGAGGGGGGGCGUUCUUUGCAUUCAGAUCCAGAAGCACUUGUAGGAGUAAGGACCUGCUGUAGCUGACCCGUCAAUGUCUGAAACAAGCAUCUCCUCCUUCAUUAAAUAAGACGGAAGGGAUCAUUGAGUCCAGUCUCCUGUUACCGCAUAUGAUCAUUUAUAUCAUUAUUCCAUAUAAUGAUACAAUCCAGUCUCCUGGUCACCCCAUCAUAUAACUCUAUUCAUAAAUGUAUCAAGCUCUGUGUUCAAACUAGUUAGAUUGUUUGCUCCCGCUGACCAUGCCAGGGAAGAAAAAUAUAGCAUGGAGAAAAUCCAUGAUUUUCCUGCCAUUUUAAAAAGAAAUGAGAGUUCCGUGAAAUAAUAAAAUGGCUUGUUUAUGCAAUGGUUACAAUUGUUUCUACUGGACAGGAGAACACUUAUUUCUAUAUGCUUUCU